rnacentral:rRNA from 1 species
UACAGGGGGUGCAAACGUUGCUCGGAAUUAUUGGGCGUAAAGCGCGCGUAGGCGGCCGUUUAAGUCGGAUGUGAAAGCCCCUGGCUCAACUGGGGAAGUGCACCCGAAACUGAAUGGCUUGAGUACUAAAGAGGGUCGCGGAAUUCCCGGUGUAGAGGUGAAAUUCGUAGAUAUCGGGAGGAACACCGGUGGCGAAGGCGGCGACCUGGGUAGAUACUGACGCUGAGGCGCGAAAGCGUGGGGAGCGAACAGG